rnacentral:lncRNA from 1 species
GUGUUCCCAUUAAAUCUCUAUUUAUUUGUGUGUGGAUAUGACGUUUUUUGUUUGUGUGUGUGUGGAUAUGACGUUCUUCUUUUGUUUGCUAGAGACACAAAAGAGGAAAGUUGAGGAAUUGGGAUUAACGAGUCGGUCUCGUUUAAUAUCGACUUUAGAGCUUUUACAACGUUUUAGCUUAAUCAUGCAUGCAAUCAUAUAAGUAUGGCAUUAUAUUUUAAUACUAACGUAAACCUUUUUUAUCUGCAGUGUUACCUGUGAACCCUACGAACCCUGUCUACUUGUCGCUGUCUUUAGCCUCCCUAUAAAUUCUCCUUUUUGUUUUGGUGGGUCUUAACCCUAUUGCCCGGUGUCCUCCACGUCUUGUUUUAUGCGAAAACAUUUUUAUAUU